AAUAGAGGUGCAUUUAGAGGGUAGUGACUUCCCUAUACGAGAAGACAAUCGUGGGAAGCAUGAAGGGCUGAAUGCCGAAAGGGGAGAGACUUGUCUUGCUCAAACCUUGGUGAAAAGUCCAAUGCUUUUCACUGUCAUGAUUCUCAUGGAGCGCUAUUU
rnacentral:ncRNA from 1 species